CUCGCUUUGUAUUUUUAUUUUUUUAUUCAAGUGUGUACUUAUCUUUCUUACUUCAGAAUAAAAGGCAGUCUCCUGAUUAGCAUGGCUUGAGAAGAUCUUCUUUAGAGAAAAUAAACACUGGAAACAAACAGAGCUGCUGGGUGAUCCCUUAGCUGGCAACACAGGAGAGCCAAACUCGAUCUACAUUCAUCAUCAGGGUAUAGAGAGCUUCUCUUGCUGAUUGGUAGGAAAUGUCGCAUAUGAUGUAAAGAAGAACACUUUGGAGAGUGCACAGCAGCAAGGGGCAAUGUGUGAGUCAGAGGGGUGUGUCUCCAGGAUACUGACUGCACAAGGACCUUCCUGCUCCAUCAAGAUGAUCCACUGUAGAAGGAAGCUUCUGGUUUUCUGUAUGGAUAGACUUCUUCUUGUCCCUUGUUACAGUCCAUUGUCUUAAUAAAAAUCAAAAGAC
rnacentral:lncRNA from 1 species